ensembl:lncRNA
ACGUCCACCAGCAGGUCCAUUCAACCAGUCCACCAUCACGUCCACCAGCAGGUCCAUUCAACCAGUCCACCAUCACGUCCACCAGCAGGUCCAUUCAACCAGUCCACCAUCACGUCCACCAGCAGGUCCAUUCAACCAGUCCACCUUCACGUCCACCAGCAGGUCCAUUCAACCAGUCCACCAUCACGUCCACCAGCAGGUCCAUUCAACCAGUCCACCAUCACGUCCACCAGCAGGUCCAUUCAACCAGUCCACCAUCACGUCCACCAGCAUCAAGUCUGUGCGUUUACUGAGGUCACACGAGGGAUGCUUCAGCAUGCCGAGGGAAUGCAAUGUGUGUGUGUGUGUGUGAGUGUGUGUCUGUGUGUGUGUGUGUGUGUGUGUGUGUGUGUGAGAGUGUGUGUGUGUGUGUGUGUGUGUGCGUGUUUUGUUUACCUGCACCCCUUGAAAAAAGCUAGCGUGCAGAGUGAGGUAAAAAGUAAAGAAUAAGUAAUUGUACACAAGGGGACGCGCUUGUGUGCGUGCAAAUUACAGAGACUUUGCGUGUGUGUGUGUGUGUGUGUGUGUGUGUGUGUGUGUGUGUGCAGGGAGUUUUAUGUGACACAACGCCACACAGUUGGCACAGGUGUCAAAAAAAAUCUGUAAUUAGCAAACAAACAAACAAAGAGCAAAAGAGCCUGUUAGUGGAUGUGAAGGGAGAGGAGAGAAGGGAGGAGAGAAGGGAGAAGGGAGGGGAGAGGAGAGAAGGGAGGGGAGAGGAGAGAAGGGAGUGAAGGGAGUGAAGGGAGGGGAGAGAGAGGAGAGGAGAGGAGAGGGGAGGAGGGAGUGAAGGGAGGGGAGAGAAGGGAGAGGAGAGAAGGGAGUGAAGGGAGGAGACAUGAGAGAAGGGAGCGAAGGGAGGAGACAUGAGAGAAGGGAGGGGAGAGGAGAGGAGGGAGUAAAGGGAGGGGAGAGGAGAGGAGAGGAGAGAAGGGAGGGGAGAUGAGAGGAGGGAGUAAAGGGAGGGGAGAGGAGAGGAGAGGACAGAAGGGAGUGGAGAGAAGGAAGUGAAGGGAGUGAAGGGAGGAGAGAAGAGAGAAUGGAGGGAAGAGGAGAGGAGGGAGCGGAGUGAAGGGAGGGGAGAUGAGAGGUGAGAAGGGAGGGGAGAGAGAGGAGAGGAGAGGAGAGGAGAGGAGAGGAGAAAAGGGAGCAGAGUGAAGGGAGAUGAGAGAGAGGAGGGGAGAGCAGUGGAGGGAGUGAAGGGAGGGAUGAGGAGAGGUGAGAAGGGAGGGGAGAGAGAGGAGAGGAGGGAGUGAAGGGAGGGGAGAGCAGUGGAGGGAGUGAAGGGAGGGAGUACCGUCCACAGAGGAAGCAUCACUGAACACCAUCAUGCCUGAGGGCGGUGUCGAGGUGGGAGGGGUUGAUGAGGAGGAGGAGCUUACUAUGGUUUUAGAGGCGGAGUCUGUCCUCUCUCUGUAUACGCAGCGUGUGUUUGUCUCUCAUCCGUCUUCCAGCGCUCAUCGGGUCGGGUUGGGGGGCAACAGCUCCAGCAGAGGACCCCAAACGUCCCUUUCUGGGACGGCUCUACCAGCUCUGACUGGGGGACCAAGGCUUUCAGGCCAGUGUGCAGACGUAGUCCAACACCACCCAGGGGGGGGGGGCGCCCAGAGGGCAUCCUUACCAGAUGCCCCAACCACCUCAACUGGCUCCUUUUAGCGCAAACACUUUGCCCUCCGGCCGACGUUCCGCUCCGUUCCAGCGGUGCAGCCGCUGUGUAGACCCACCUCCCCCCGACUGCUCUCCAUGAAAACCACAAGCAGGUAUGGAGACAUGGCGCCGCCCUGGCCAAGGCCGUCCUCCACCGGAAACGCCUCCAACGGCCGAGCACCCGAACGCAGCUCCCUCUGCUCGCAGGUCUUGUGUGUGUACGUUUGUGUGUGUGUGUGUGUGUGUUUGUGUGUGUGUGUGUGUGCGUCUGUGCCAAAUGAUGAAUCCUAGCACGAGAUUAAAUAAAAGAAAUUCAUCAAAGACAAAAUUAAGGAUUAGAUGAGAUUGUUCCAGAAAUAACCUCAAAGCGCCACAGAGCGUGCCGGGACGUGGCGCCCGGCUGUGGCGCCGCCCACCCUGACCUCCCGCUCCAAGUGGGUCAACCAACGACGUCGCCGAAAACUAACAGUGCAUCCUUUAAUUGCCCCUCUACGAGGUUUCCUGACAGACGCAAUCACAGUUAAUUAGGUACGGACGGCAUCACGAAGUUCGCGUAUUGUUGGGGGGGGGCGGUGGGGGGGGCGGCCCCCUUAACGCCACCGCCAAAACGUGGGGGCGCCAAUUAGAAAAAGGAGAAGCGCUGGCUGUGAGGCCGGGUGGAGCUCUCUGAGACGUCGCCAGGAGGGGGAGGGGGGGGGACGCUGUCCCACUUCAGAAAUAGUCUUGUUUGUGAAGAGGGAGAAGUGGGUGCAGAUAAACGAUACGCGUGGGACGAAGUAUUAUUAUCACGUAAGAGAUUCACCUUUAAAUACCUCAUUACACUGUGGACAUUUUGUCUCAGGAUGUCAGCUGACCAUGAGGACACUGUGAAGCAGCGGACAGUUGGUCGUCAUGGAGACACGCCUGCUAUCGUUUCCUGUUUGGAGAUGAAGGAAGAGGAGGUGCCAGUUGAAGUGUUUAUCUGCUGAUUUAAAGAUGACGCCUCCAACGUGGCUUCAUUCAGUCCAAAGUCUCUUCUCAGCGUGACGUAAAGUCUCAUUCGAGGAGCCAAUGAAUCAGCGUUGGUGUCAGAACUAUUGAUUCACAUCACUCUGACAUCUGCAGAUCAUUUCAGGAUACAAGUUUAUUCCUCCUGUCAUUAAUAAAUCGGGGCUCUGCCGUCACAUAAACAUCGUGUGCUGCUUUUAUCGCAGCCGUUUAAUCACUCUGCUGUUUUAUAGACUGAGGACACAACGACGCAGCGGCGACAGAGACCUUUAAAUCUGAGCAGAAAUACACCACUUCAUCCAUAAAACCGUCCCUCCCUCCUCUCCGCCGCGGCCAUUAGUGGUAAUUCAGCUCUCAGCUCCCCAUCACAGCGCGCUAACUGCCCCUCCUGCCCCACAGCCUGCCGCCAGAACCAACACGGCGAGGAGGAGGAAGAGGAGCGGCGGUGUGGCUUUCAGUCGGAGUAUUUUGCAUGAUGUAUGAGGCAGGGACGAGUGUGCCGCUCGCUGGGACUCUAAAUAAUUAAAGAGGGAAAUGAAAGCUUCAAACUUCUUCUUCACAGAGGUAGCCCGCUCCGCGGGUUAAUCAGUGUUAGGGGGCAGA